rnacentral:tRNA from 1 species
GCUGUGAUGGCCGAGUGGUUAAGGCUUUGGAUUUGAAAUCCAAUGGGGUUUCUCUGCGCAGGUUAGAACCCUGCUCUCAGCG